rnacentral:rRNA from 1 species
GAUGAACGCUAGCGGCAGGCUUAAUACAUGCAAGUCAAGGGGGUAGCAAUACAACCGGCGCACGGGUGAGUAACGCGUACACAACAUACCAUAUACUGGAGUAUAGCUUUGGGAAACUGAAGGUAAUCCUCCAUAACAUUGCGAGAGGGCAUCUGAUUGCAAUUAAAGUUUCGGCGGUAUAUGAUUGGUGUGCGUUUGAUUAGCUAGUUGGUAGGGUAACGGCCUACCAAGGCGACGAUCAAUAGCUGGCGUGAGAGCGCGACCAGCCACACUGGAACUGAGACACGGUCCAGACUCCUACGGGAGGCAGCAGUAGGGAAUAUUGGACAAUGGAGGAAACUCUGAUCCAGCCAUGCCGCGUGAUAGAUGAAGGCCCUCUGGGUUGUAAACUUCUUUUGUAUGGGAAGAAAAUUCCGAACGUGUUCGGAGCUGACGGUACCAUAAGAAUAAGCAUCGGCUAAUUCCGUGCCAGCAGCCGCGGUAAAGUAG